AUACGUAGGGGGCGAGCGUUGCCCGGAAUGACUGGGCGUAACGGGCGUGUAGGCGGCGGUGAAAGUCUGGAGUGAAAGUCCCGUAUUCAAUGUGGGAAUUGCUUUGGAUACUGAAGUGCUAGAGUGCGGAAGAGGAAAGUGGAAUUCCCAGUGUAGCGGUGAAAUGCGUAGAGAUUGGGAGGAACACCAGUGGCGAAGGCGACUUACUGGACUGUAACUGACGCUGAGGCGCGAAAGUGUGGUGAGCAAACAGGAUUAGAUUCCCUGGUAGUCCACACUGUAAACGAUGAAUGCUAGGUGUAGGGGGUAUCGACCCCUUCUGUGCCGCAGUCAACACAAUAAGCAUUCCGCCUGGGGAGUACGGCCGCAAGGUUGAAACUCAAAUGAAUUGACGGGG
rnacentral:rRNA from 1 species